rnacentral:rRNA from 1 species
UUUAAUAAAGUUCUAAGUGAAAAAAUGAUUAUGACAUUUUUCAUAUAAGUCUUGACCAAGUCAUGUGCCAGCGGUCGCGGUAAUACAUGGAAGACUAGUGUUAUUCAUCUUUAAUAGGUUUAAAGGGUACCUAGACGGUUAAUAAGGCCCUAAAUAAAAAGAACAGGGAACUAAUUAACUAGAGUUUUAUGUAAGAAGAUAGAAGGAGGAGAGUAGAGAUUCAAUUCUGUAAUUCCCUUUACGACUAUUUAAGGCGAAAGCGAUCUUUUAUGUAUAAACUGACGUUGAGGGACGAAGGCUUAGGUAGCGAACAGGAUUAGAUACCCUAGUAGUCUUAGCAGAAAAUUAUGAAUGUUAUAUAUAAAUGAAAGUGUAAGCAUUCCACCUUAAGAGUAAUGCGGCAACGCAUAAACUGAAAUCAUUAGACCGCUUUUGAAACCAGUAGUGAAGUAUGUUGUUUAAUUUGAUAAUCCACGGAAAACCUUACCACACAAGAGUUGCACGGCUGUCUUAAGU